rnacentral:sRNA from 1 species
GAUGAGAAGCUUCGACUAAGGUUCGACUCGAGCGCCAGCGAGAGAACGUUGCCGCAGGCAACGGCCCGAAGGGCGAGGCGCUUUAGCGCCGAGUAAUCCUUCCCCCACCACCA